UACGGAGGGUGCAAGCGUUAUCCGGAUUCACUGGGUUUAAAGGGUGCGUAGGAGGGUAGGUAAGUCAGUGGUGAAAUCUUCGAGCUUAACUCGGAAACUGCCGUUGAUACUAUCUAUCUUGAAUACCGUGGAGGUGAGCGGGAUAUGUCAUGUAGCGGUGAAAUGCUUAGAUAUGACAUAGAACACCAAUUGCGAAGGCAGCUCGCUACACGAAUAUUGACUCUGAGGCACGAAAGCGUGGGGAUCAAACAGG
rnacentral:rRNA from 1 species